rnacentral:rRNA from 1 species
GUGGGGAAUAUUGGACAAUGGGGGGAACCCUGAUCCAGCCAUGCCGCGUGUGUGAAGAAGGCCUUUUGGUUGUAAAGCACUUUAAGCGAGGAGGAGGCUACCGAGAUUAAUACUCUUGGAUAGUGGACGUUACUCGCAGAAUAAGCACCGGCUAACUCUGUGCCAGCAGCCGCGGUAAUACAGAGGGUGCAAGCGUUAAUCGGAUUUACUGGGCGUAAAGCGCGCGUAGGUGGCCAAUUAAGUCAAAUGUGAAAUCCCCGAGCUUAACUUGGGAAUUGCAUUCGAGACUGGUUGGCUAGAGUAUGGGAGAGGAUGGUAGAAUUCCAGGUGUAGCGGUGAAAUGCGUAGAGAUCUGGAGGAAUACCGAUGGCGAAGGCAGCCAUCUGGCCUAAUACUGACACUGAGGUGCGAAAGCAUGGGGAGCAAACAGGAUUAGAAACCCCAGUAGUCC